AUUGAACGCUGGCGGCAUGCCUUACACAUGCAAGUCGAACGGCAGCACGGGUGCUUGCACCUGGUGGCGAGUGGCGAACGGGUGAGUAAUACAUCGGAACAUGUCCUGUAGUGGGGGAUAGCCCGGCGAAAGCCGGAUUAAUACCGCAUACGAUCUACGGAUGAAAGCGGGGGACCUUCGGGCCUCGCGCUAUAGGGUUGGCCGAUGGCUGAUUAGCUAGUUGGUGGGGUAAAGGCCUACCAAGGCGACGAUCAGUAGCUGGUCUGAGAGGACGACCAGCCACACUGGGACUGAGACACGGCCCAGACUCCUACGGGAGGCAGCAGUGGGGAAUUUUGGACAAUGGGCGAAAGCCUGAUCCGGCAAUGCCGCGUGUGUGAAGAAGGCCUUCGGGUUGUAAAGCACUUUUGUCCGGAAAGAAAUCCUUGGCCCUAAUACGGUCGGGGGAUGACGGUACCGGAAGAAUAAGCACCGGCUAACUACGUG
rnacentral:rRNA from 1 species